GAGACAAGGGAUUUUGAUGUUAAGAGGAGACUAACCUUCUUAAUGAUGCAAAAUCUCUUCAUGGUGAUGGAGAGGAGUUUGUUCAAGAAUUUCAACCUGAAUAUUCAAUCGAGCAAAGUUUUGAAGAUGAUAUCAAUAGCACAAAUGGUGCGAAUAACAAAGGUUUUGAGAAUGAGAAUAGUGGAGGUGAAUUGGGAUUACCAAUUCAAGGAGAAAAGAAGAAAAACAUAUCUCUCACAAUCAAAUACUAAUGUUCAUCUCUCAAUUACAAUCUCUUUCAGAAUUAAAUGAAAGUAGAGAACAAGGUCUUUGUCUUUGGCGUGAAGAAAUAUAGACAUUGGAUUAUAGUUGUGACAAAAAAUCAAUGCAAGUUACCAUCAUAAAUACUGUUGAAGAUGAAGAAGAUGUUUGAUGCACUUGUAUUAUAUAGAUGUUUUUAAGUACAUUUGUAAAUUAUUUCAUAGCAUUUAGAUAAGUA
rnacentral:misc_RNA from 1 species